ACACGAGAGAGGAGGUGAUCCGAAAGAUGGUUAUUCGGAUGCGUGAGGUGGCUGCGGGCUGAGGCCUGUCGUCACAUGGCGGCAGGCCUCCUGCCGUACAUCCAGCAGUCACCGACCCGCGGGCCCGUCGGCACAUCCGGCCGACCUCCCCUUGCACAGCAGGGGAGCAUCGGGCCCGCGGGUUCUCUCAU
rnacentral:sRNA from 1 species